rnacentral:sRNA from 1 species
UCGCGCUGCGUAACAGACGCGCCUGUUGAGUCUUCCAAAAAGGCCGCUCUUCGGAGCGGCCUUUUUUUAUCGCCUGU